rnacentral:lncRNA from 1 species
UACCAGUAAAGUGUCGAGGGUGUGGGAUUCUGGAAUCAACAGAAACUGGGUUUAAAUCCUUGUUCUUUUGAGUCUCAGUUGCCUCAGAUGUAAAAUGGGGUAGUAGGAUUUAUUGCAGAAGAUUUUAUGAGGUCUAAAUGAGGUAAUACAUUUAAAUACCCAAAACUUCUGCACUUCUAAUAAUGCCCAUCAAAUGUAAGCUACUAUUUUAAGUGUCUGAUUGAAUCAGAGAGAAAAAAAAAAUCCCUGGAUCAAUACUAUGGAGAAGGUUGUUUCUGUGCCCCUAAUUCAUUUUUUCCGCUCACCAUGUACGCAGAAUAAGGACUCCCUAAAAUGUUCCGAAAUUCCUAGAACCUGUAAAUAUGUUACAAGGAAAAGGACUUUGCAGUUGUAAUGAAGGGUAUAGACUUUAAGAGAAGACGAUCCUGGAUUAUUCCCAUGGGCACAGCCUAAUUACAUGAGCUUUUAAAAACGGAGAACUUUCUCUGGCUGGAAGCUGGAAAGUUUCUAAGCAUCAGAAGGGUUAGACAUGCCAUUGCUGGCUCUGAGAGCAAGGCCCAUGUGCAAGAACUGUAGAGAUGCCUUCGAGAGCUGAGGGCAGCCCCAGAGGAUAGGACCUCAGUACUAAAACCAUAAGAAAUUGAAUGAGUUGGAAAGCAGAUUGUUAUCAGAACCUCUCGGUAAGAGCCCAGCUGGCUGACAUCUUGAUUUCUGCCUUGUGACAUCUGGAUUAGAGAAACCCAUUGAGCCAGCUCAAACUUAUGACCUAAAGAACAGUGAGAUAAUAAAUUUAUGUUGUUUUUAGUCACUCUGUUUGUGGUUAUUUGUUAUGGUCGUGAUAGAAAACUAACACAUUAUUUGACCCCCUUCACGUCUCUUUCCAGACUUGUUAGAAGUUAGCUGCAAUUUCAAGGAUGUUUCACAAGGAUAACAUUACCCAGAGUGGAAAGAUGUCUAGCUAUAGUCACUCAUCAGCUUUAACCAUAAAAGCAAUGGUGCUUGUAUUAGUGUUCUCCAGAGAAAUAGAAUAUAUAAAUAUUCGACAUAAGAGAUGUAUUAUAAGGAAUUGGCUCAUGUGAUUAUGAAAGCUGACAAGUCCUACCAUCUGCAGUCAGCAAGCUGGAAAUCCAGGAGAGCCAGUGCUGUAGUUCCAGUCCGAAGGUAGGAAAAAUCCAAUGUCUCAGCUCAAGGCAGGCCAGCAGGAGGAAUUUUCCCCCUCUUGCAGGAGGGUCAGCUUUUUUUGUUCUAGUCAGGCCCUCAACUGAUUCGACGAGGCCCACCUAUAUCAUGAAGGGCAAUCUUUACUCCGUCUACCCACUUAAAUGUUACCCCCACCCAGAAACACAUUCAUGGAAACACACAGAAUAAUGUUUGAUCAAAUGCCUGGGCACUCCAUGGCUCAGUACAAUUAAUACAUAAAAUUAACCAUCGUGAGCCAACAUGUGUGUAAAUUAGACAUAUUAUUCAACUAAGCC